ensembl:lncRNA
CGAUCUUAAAAUAAAUCAAUAUUGAUUUUUUUAUAGAGCGUUAAAGUUUUGCAAAGCCAGGGGGCGGGACUACUUGAUUGACAGUCCGGUCUGGAAUGAUUGACAGGUCCUAUGGAGGAGGCAGCAGAGACUCUGCUCUCCUCGUUUGGAUUAAUUCUGAUAUAAUAACUGUUGGUUUAUUUAUCGGUGCAGCAGCAGAACAUUUUCCACAGACAGUUUUCCUGCCCGUUGGCUUGUUUUAACCAGUUUUCUGCCUUCGGCUGAUUCUACCAGCAGACACUGAAAGGACUCUGAUAGUUCGAGUGAAAGUAGCAGUUCCUCCUUAAGGUCAGAGAUUGCAGCAUCUGAGGGCCUCUUCAAAAGAAGAUGUAGUUGAUGAAGGCGUUCUGGAGCAGGACCAGAAAGACCACGACCAAGCAGCCUUGAGAUCUUAGGCAGCGUCUCCCUCAGCUUCAGCUCCAGUGACGGCAGGCAGGACGAGUCAACGGAGGCCGGGUGGAUGAAGGCAUGCAGCUGAGUACAAUCCAGAAAACAACAGAGGAGGAGUGC